GCAGACACAUUCCAGCCAAUCAGCAGCAGACCCUCCCUCCCAGACCCUUCCAUCUCCUGGACAGCAUCCAUUUUGAAGCUGCAUUCUUAGUGAGCUGUCCAGGAGGUGGGAGGGUCUGGGAGGGAGGGUCUGCUGCUGAUUGGCUGGAAUGUGUCUG
rnacentral:miRNA from 1 species